CAGGACUGGCUCCCAACAAGAACCCUGGACACAAAGGCUCAGGUGAGCUUCCUAGACACCAAUACUCAGGUGAGCUGUAUGGAAACUAACGCUCAGGUGAGCUUCCUGGACUCCAAGGCCCAGGUGGGCUUUCCUGGACUCCAAGGUGCAGGUGAGCUUCCUGGGCUCCAAGGCCAGGUGAUGUUCCUGGACACUUAGGCUCAGGAAAAGCAGUUGAAAUACCAUUAGUUAACAGAUUGCCCAAUGAAGUCGAUGACAACUGUGAUAACAAGUUACUCACUAUCACAGCGUCUCCAAGAGAUGAACAGUGGAUGAUGCUUCCAAAGCACAGAUGUCCCUCUCCUCCUCAACCUUCUCUCCCCAGAAAGAUGUCAACACUGUGGAGAUUGUGCUAUGAAGAUACCUGGUGUGGCAUUGCAAUAGAUGAAAUAUUAAGGGCAAUUCAACAAUUUUCUGAACAAAUACAUGGAUUUAACUUGAAGUUGAAUUUAAUUUGACUUCAAGAAAAAUUAUAUUUCUGGUCCUCCUAUGAUCAUGCACUAAGAAUUAUUUAACUGCAGAUACAAUUGUUACCUUUAGAGCUAGAAGGCCUCAUUUUAGAAUUAAAAUGAAUGGCAACCCAGACAGAUAAAGUCGAGUCGUGAUCAUCCCACUGCGGAGGCAGAGCCAGUGCUGGCCAUCCCCCGACCACCCCAACACACUCCAGGUCUCACACAUUUAAUCUCUCUCUCUGCCAAGGGAAUUUUUUCUUUCCAUUUAUUCUUAGAAACAACUAAGGGAGUUUUAAGUUAAAUACAUGCUGCCAAAUUGAAUCCAAGGAAACUAAAGUCAAAUAUAUUAGCAAACACUUAAUGUCCUCUCCAUUUUGACAUUUCUCCCUCAAUUCCUAUUUCUGAGUAAAGGCUGUUCAGAUGAAUAAAAACAUAUUUUCAGAAAUCUGAGCUCAUAAGACCUAUAGGUCUGUGAAGUCACAGACCGUGCACUGUCAGCAGUCAGCAAUUCUGCUGGGUUGAAUUGGCAUGUUUCAAACUAUGUAUUUUUGUUAAAAAAAAAAAAAA
ensembl:lncRNA LINC01020 long intergenic non-protein coding RNA 1020